rnacentral:rRNA from 1 species
GGCCAGACUCCUACGGGAGGCAGCAGUGGGGAAUAUUGCACAAUGGGGGAAACCCUGAUGCAGCGACGCCGCGUGAGUGAAGAAGUAUUUCGGUAUGUAAAGCUCUAUCAGCAGGGAAGAAAAUGACGGUACCUGAUUAAGAAGCCCCGGCUAACUACGUGCCAGCAGCCGCGGUAAUACGUAGGGGGCAAGCGUUAUCCGGAUUUACUGGGUGUAAAGGGAGCGUAGACGGCAAUACAAGUCGGAAGUGAAAUACCCGGGCUUAACCUGGGAACUGCUUUGGAAACUGUAUGGCUGGAGUGCUGGAGAGGUAAGCGGAAUUCCUAGUGUAGCGGUGAAAUGCGUAGAUAUUAGGAGGAACACCAGUGGCGAAGGCGGCUUACUGGACAGUAACUGACGUUGAGGCUCGAAAGCGUGGGGAGCAAACAGGAUUAGAUACCCCUGUAGU